rnacentral:rRNA from 1 species
AUUGAACGCUGGCGGCAUGCCUUACACAUGCAAGUCGAACGGUAACAGGUUAAGCUGACGAGUGGCGAACGGGUGAGUAAUAUGUCGGAACGUGCCCAGUCGUGGGGGAUAACGUAGCGAAAGCUACGCUAAUACCGCAUACGAUCUAAGGAUGAAAGCGGGGGAUCGCAAGACCUCGCGCGAUUGGAGCGGCCGAUAUCAGAUUAGGUUGUUGGUGAGGUAAAAGCUCACCAAGCCUGCGAUCUGUAGCUGGUCUGAGAGGACGACCAGCCACACUGGAACUGAGACACGCUCCAGACUCCUACGGGAGGCAGCAGUGGGGAAUUUUGGACAAUGGACGCAAGUCUGAUCCAGCAAUGCCGCGUGCAGGACGAAGGCCUUCGGGUUGUAAACUGCUUUUGUACGGAACGAAACGGUGAGCUCUAAUACAGUUUGCUAAUGACGGUACCGUAAGAAUAAGCACCGGCUAACUACGUGCCAGCAGCCGCAGUAA